UUUCCAAAUAGUUUAAGAAGAACGGAAUUUUGAAGAAAUUUAAGUGGUGGU
rnacentral:tRNA from 1 species